UACAGAGGUCCCAAGCGUUGUUCGGAUUCACUGGGCGUAAAGGGCGCGUAGGCGGCCUCUGCAAGUCGACUGUGAAAUCUCCGGGCUUAACCCGGAACGGUCAGCCGAUACUGCAGGGCUAGAGUGCAGAAGGGGCAACCGGAAUUCUCGGUGUAGCGGUGAAAUGCGUAGAUAUCGAGAGGAACACCUGCGGCGAAGGCGGGUUGCUGGGCUGACACUGACGCUGAGGCGCGAAAGCUAGGGGAGCGAACGGG
rnacentral:rRNA from 1 species